UCAGGAUACAGCUGCCUGCAUCCCUGCAGCUCCAGCUCCUGCACCAGCCUUGUCUCAAAGAUGCACAGAGGCUCAGGGGCAGAAGAGACUGCCUCAUCUCAGAUGAGACUUUGGGCUUCAGACAUUUGAGUAAAUGCUGGAAUGAGUUAAGACCUUGUGGCACUGUAGGCUGCAACAAGGAUGGAUGAAAAUGUAAAAGCAGGUUCAGAAGAGGGUAACAGCCAGAGGUUGGAAAGUUUGGAGGCCUUGGAAGAAGUCAGGAAGAUGAAGGUAAGUUUUGACCAUUGUAGAGACUUGUUAAAUAGUUAUAAUUAAAAGGGCGACAGAAGGAUGGACAGUGAAGGCCAGGCUUACAAGAUCUCAGAUGAAAAUGAGGAAUUUACUGAAAACAGGAGCCAAGGUUACUUUGGUUUUGCCUUAGCAAAGAAUAUCACUGCAUGAUGCCCUUAACCUGGAGACCUAUGAAACUUUGAACUUGAG
rnacentral:lncRNA from 10 species